CAGUGCUGGGUUUCAUGGGAACCAGAGGAUUUACAACUUUGCUUGGGCUCCACGUACCAGCAGGAGCCUGAUGAGGAGGGCGGCUGUGUUCUGAAUUGUUUUAGGAAGUCUCCUUCAGCCCAAGACCGUCUGGACAAAAUUGCCAUGGGAUCCUGUUGCUGCAGCAGGAUGUUACCAAGUGAGACGUUGACUCAAAGAAGGGGAGCUGAGAUCAGGAAGGCCAAGAUGGCAUCCAAAAAUUCAAACACACCAAGGAGGCCAGGUGCGAUGGCUCACGCCUGUAAUCCUAGCACUUUGGAAGACCCAGGUGGGUGGAUCACCUGAGGUUAGGAGUUUGAGACCAGCCUGGCCAACAUGGUGAAACCCCAUCUCUACUUAAAAAAAAAAAAAAUCAGCUGGGCGUGCUAGAAGGCACCUGUAAUCCCAGCUACUUGGAAGUCUGAGGCAGGAGAAUUGUUUGAACCCGGGAGGUUGAGGUUGCAGUGAGCCACGCCACUGCACUCUAGCCUGGGCAACAAGAGUGAAAUUCAGUCUCAAAAAAAAAAAAAAAAAAAAAAAAACCAAAAAACAAAACCUCCAAAGGACAUAUGUGUGCUCUUGCUCUCAGGAAGCUUGUGAUUCCUGGGGAGAAACUGAUCACACACACACCGAGUAUUGUAAAGUGAUUCAAAGUUGCACAAGGGAGAGGCAAGUUCUGAGUCUCCUCCUGCCUCCCAGUUCCCUUCCUUGAAUGCAGGGUCACUGACUGAUUGGUCACAUCCCAAGACCAUGAUUGGCUAUUUUACAAGUAGACAAGGUCACCAUGCUUUAACAGGCAAGGCCCCAUGAGCCACCUCUCUUUGUUGGAAGUUGCCUGCGUCUGGCCCUCCUCUCACUUCUUGAGUGUAGGUUUGAGGUCUGGGAAUGCUGCUGGUAGCUGUGGUCCAUCCCUUUCAAGAUUGGGAUUUGGAAGAUAAAGGAAAGAUCCUGUUUGGAGCCUGAGCCUAAGCAUAGAGUUCCAGCCUGAGGUUGCAGAGAGGCCCAGCCUUGGGUGUGGGUUCCAAGCCCAGAUGGCAAUAAAGGAGCACCCUGUCUUCCUACGGGCUGGAGUUCCUUUUGAGAGUGCUUCCUGGGAAAUGUUGUCAUAACAUUGACAGGGCAGAAUUUCAGCAUUUCUCACCCUUGGCCCUAAUAUCCAUCUCCCAAAUCACCCCCAGUGCCAGGAAUCAUUAAGAAAGCAGUGGUAGUGUUGAGACAACCAAAAGGCUGUUAGUUUGAGAACCGUCACAUAUAGCAGAUGGAAUUCUUGAAAAAGUGUCUUCAGCAUUAGGUAGAGGCAUAUUGUUAUACAUAAAGAAAGGCCGGAGAAAAACACCAAGAACUUUCUGGGGUAACUUCUCUACAGGAGGUUGCUGUGUCCCCCUAGACAGCUCUAUCAACAGGUGAGGACUGGGAAUCUAGUGGUGAAUUGAUGUGACUGGGUUGGGGCAGAAAUGCCAUGGGGCCUGAUGCAGCACAGCUGUACGUCAUGGAAAAUGAUCCCUGAGACAGUCAGCAACUGGAUGUAGAAUGAAUCUGUUUAAGUAAUGAGUGUUCGCUUUAGGAGAGCAGGAUGCAGGACAAUAGCCAGGAGAGAGCAAAACCUGUUUGAAAGAGUUGAGGGAUUUGUGAUGUCCUGCCUGACACACCAGCACCCCUGAUGAUGCUGUCAAUGGCUUUCUCUCAAUUAGUCCCCCUGGACAGGUGGAAGCCGAGGUAAGUUGGGUAAUUGAUGUCUUCAUGCUUCCACAAAGGGCCUACUUUGGGAAGAUGGAAUAUGUUAAUGCAGGUCCCUGCAUGAAGCAGGGAAUUCUGAACACAUUUGCAGGCCGGUGAAGGAAAGGUCCUUCCCCAUGUCAUGGUUCCACAUGCUCUCCACCAUAAACUUGGAAGAAUUCAAGCUGACACAUCAUGUGAAAUUCAGGGUGAAAAAAGUCUGUUGAAAUGGAUAAUGGAAUGUGGAAGACCUGUGGAACAUGUAGUUGGACCUUUAACUCUGUCUGUAUCCACACAAAAGCCUGUAAUAGAAUGUUCAAGCAUAACAUCCUUGAAUUUUUCAAAAAUAACUUUACAGCUGAUCCAUUUAUUUUGUCGGUGGGGUGAGGGGACAGAGAGAAGAAUGGGAAAGAGAGUGAGAGCAGGGAAAGAGAAGAGUGAUGAUUGAAGGGGAAGAGAAGGAAUUUUCUAACAACUCCUUGCCACAAAAUGAUGAGUGAUGGUGAGUGAUUUAAUUAGGUCAUUAAGUGGAUGAAAUAACAUGGCCAAGGUAAACUUACGUAAACUGUUUCUUAUUUAAAUUAUAUUGGAUACUUGGAUCAUCUGUUUAAUAAAAAAUCUCAUCCACUCUUCAAUAUUGGCUUAAAUCCUCUCCCCUGAACAAAACCUUUUCUAAGCACUGCAACUGGGACAUUUUUUAGUUCUUUUUACAUUUUUUUUCCAUAUUAUUUAGUUGAAACUAAUUGCAUGGAGCUCUAUUCCACGUAGUUACUUCCAUGGGUCCAUGAGUCUUAUUUCUCCCCAAAGACAUUUUUCUUAGGGAGGAAGAAACCAAGCUACAAACGUUUUUCUCAUGUGCUUCCUACACUGUGUUCUGUGCAGUAGAUGCUGCUGAACAUUUGCCAGGAGCCUGAUAUUUGGAAAGUUUGGCUCAUUUUCAAGGCUAUGCAAUUUAAUGAUACUGACAAACCCCAAAAUUUCUAGAUCCCAAUUAAGUACUUCAUUGUCCUGACUUCAUUCAUCAUAAUGGAAAAUUAACUUACUGUCUAAUAUCUCAUUUUCUUCUCUUUAAUAUAGAUAAUAAUAAACUAACCCAUGCAAAUGUAUUGAAGAAUAAUGAAUAAAUAAAAUUUACAAGCAAAUGUAAGUAUAAAGAUGUAUCUAAAUGCACAUAAUAUUAAUGGAGAUUGAUAAAAUAAACCAGCUAGUAAUGAUGUGGAAGUGAUAACAUGUACACAUCGUUUUGCAAAUCAGAUUUUUAGUGACUAAAUAGAAAAUGACUUGGAGAAAAUACAUGAGACUUUGUGAGUAAUUCUGAGGUGGGAGAGAAAUUUUUUAAAAUUCUGAGGAUGUAUGAUGGGAUUCUUUAAGACUUUCUCUCUUAGUCUCCUGAACUCUGUUUAUAGUGUACACAUUAACUUUGUUUAUAAAUUUAAUGAAUCCGUUUUUGAUUAAAUAAAC
rnacentral:lncRNA from 10 species